AUUAUAUUAUAAGGCAUUUAAUUUUAUAAUAAUCCAAUUAAUAUUUUUCAAACAUCAUAUGAUUUAUUAUAUUUGAAAAAUAUAAUUAUAUUAGUCAACAUCCUACAUAAGGGUCACUACAAGGAUACUCGGGCAGUGCUUAGAACACAAAAAAGACAUAGCAAAAGCUAGAAUGACAACUGCCCUAUCCAUUAAGGCUUACGAAGGUGAUAUAGAGAUACACUGGCAAGAAACCAGAGUAUUGAAACAACUAACUGACCCAGCACGAGCCAUGUGUAGAGAGACGCUAGAAAUCCUUACCCGACAGAAAACAGAAACAUUACUCAACGAACAUCCCACCACGAGGAUACCGGACACAUGGAACUACCUCCUCCGAACAACUGAAGACCCGAGUGAUCGUACACAACUAACCACGGAAGGCUAAUAUUCCCUGGGGAACACACCC
rnacentral:lncRNA from 1 species